CAGUGAGGUAGAGGCGCGGUGUUUAACAGUCUUUAGCGGAGCUUGAGAAGCGAUGAUGCUAGGGAGAAGGAAAUAUCGCCGAAGCGGGCACAUAUAUCUCAGUAUUGCCUGCUGGGUCUGCAGUUAAGAGCUGCAGGACUGUCUCAAUGGGCUUCCCGGCUUAUUGAGUUGUGCUAUCUCAUUU
rnacentral:ncRNA from 2 species